rnacentral:rRNA from 1 species
CCUACGGGCGGCUGCAGUGGGGAAUAUUGCACAAUGGGCGCAAGCCUGAUGCAGCCAUGCCGCGUGUGUGAAGAAGGCCUUCGGGUUGUAAAGCACUUUCAGCGGGGAGGAAGGCGGUGAGGUUAAUAACCUCAUCGAUUGACGUUACCCGCAGAAGAAGCACCGGCUAACUCCGUGCCAGCAGCCGCGGUAAUACGGAGGGUGCAAGCGUUAAUCGGAAUUACUGGGCGUAAAGCGCACGCAGGCGGUCUGUCAAGUCGGAUGUGAAAUCCCCGGGCUCAACCUGGGAACUGCAUUCGAAACUGGCAGGCUAGAGUCUUGUAGAGGGGGGUAGAAUUCCAGGUGUAGCGGUGAAAUGCGUAGAGAUCUGGAGGAAUACCGGUGGCGAAGGCGGCCCCCUGGACAAAGACUGACGCUCAGGUGCGAAAGCGUGGGGAGCAAACAGGAUUAGAUACCUCAGUAGUC